CCUACGGGAGGCAGCAGUGAGGAAUAUUGGUCAAUGGACGAGAGUCUGAACCAGCCAAGUAGCGUGAAGGAUGACUGCCCUAUGGGUUGUAAACUUCUUUUAUAUGGGAAUAAAAUGUUCCACGUGUGGGAUUUUGUAUGUACCAUAUGAAUAAGGAUCGGCUAACUCCGUGCCAGCAGCCGCGGUAAUACGGAGGAUACGAGCGUUAUCCGGAUUUAUUGGGUUUAAAGGGAGCGUAGGUGGAUUGUUAAGUCAGUUGUGAAAGGUUGCGGCUCAACCGUAAAAUUGCAGUUGAAACUGGCAGUCUUGAGUACAGUAGAGGUGGGCGGAAUUCGUGGUGUAGCGGUGAAAUGCUUAGAUAUCACGAAGAACUCCGAUUGCGAAGGCAGCUCACUGGACUGCAACUGACACUGAGGCUCGAAAGUGUGGGUAUCAAACAGGAGUAGAUACCCCUGUAGUC
rnacentral:rRNA from 1 species